CGCGCUGCAUUAGCUAGUUGGUAAGGUAACGGCUUACCAAGGCAACGAUGCAUAGCCGACCUGAGAGGGUGAUCGGCCACACUGGAACUGAGACACGGUCCAGACUCCUACGGGAGGCAGCAGUAGGGAAUCUUCCGCAAUGGGCGAAAGCCUGACGGAGCAACGCCGCGUGAGUGAUGAAGGUCUUCGGAUCGUAAAACUCUGUUAUUAGGGAAGAACAUAUGUGUAAGUAACUGUGCACAUCUUGACGGUACCUAAUCAGAAAGCCACGGCUAACUACGUGCCAGCAGCCGCGGUAAUACGUAGGUGGCAAGCGUUAUCCGGAAUUAUUGGGCGUAAAGCGCGCGUAGGCGGUUUUUUAAGUCUGAUGUGAAAGCCCACGGCUCAACCGUGGAGGGUCAUUGGAAACUGGAAAACUUGAGUGCAGAAGAGGAAAGUGGAAUUCCAUGUGUAGCGGUGAAAUGCGCAGAGAUAUGGAGGAACACCAGUGGCGAAGGCGACUUUCUGGUCUGUAACUGACGCUGAUGUGCGAAAGCGUGGGGAUCAAACAGGAUUAGAUACCCUGGUAGUCCACGCCGUAAACGAUGAGUGCUAAGUGUUAGGGGGUUUCCGCCCCUUAGUGCUGCAGCUAACGCAUUAAGCACUCCGCCUGGGGAGUACGACCGCAAGGUUGAAACUCAAAGGAAUUGACGGGGACCCGCACAAGCGGUGGAGCAUGUGGUUUAAUUCGAAGCAACGCGAAGAACCUUACCAAAUCUUGACAUCCUUUGACAACUCUAGAGAUAGAGCCUUCCCCUUCGGGGGACAAAGUGACAGGUGGUGCAUGGUUGUCGUCAGCUCGUGUCGUGAGAUGUUGGGUUAAGUCCCGCAACGAGCGCAACCCUUAAGCUUAGUUGCCAUCAUUAAGUUGGGCACUCUAAGUUGACUGCCGGUGACAAACCGGAGGAAGGUGGGGAUGACGUCAAAUCAUCAUGCCCCUUAUGAUUUGGGCUACACACGUGCUACAAUGGACAAUACAAAGGGCAGCGAAACCGCGAGGUCAAGCAAAUCCCAUAAAGUUGUUCUCAGUUCGGAUUGUAGUCUGCAACUCGACUACAUGAAGCUGGAAUCGCUAGUAAUCGUAGAUCAGCAUGCUACGGUGAAUACGUUCCCGGGUCUUGUACACACCGCCCGUCACACCACGAGAGUUUGUAACACCCGAAGCCGGUGGAGUAACCUUUUAGGAGCUAGCCGUCGAAGGUGGGACAAAUGAUUGGGGUGUAUCGGAAGGU
rnacentral:rRNA from 1 species